rnacentral:tRNA from 1 species
AAAUUUUUAGUUUAAGAAAAAAUUUUAAAUUGCAAAUUUAAAGAUAUAUAAAUUAUAUAAAAUUUU